UACGUAGGCAGCGAGCGUUGUUCGGAGUUACUGGGCGUAAAGGGUGUGUAGGCGGUUGUUUAAGUUUGGUGUGAAAUCUCCCGGCUUAACUGGGAGGGUGCGCCGAAUACUGAAUGACUUCGAGUGCGGGAGAGGAGAGUGGAAUUCCUGGUGUAGCGGUGAAAUGCGUAGAUAUCUGGAGGAACACCGGUGGCGAAGGCGGCAUCCUGGACCGAGAUUGACGCUGAGGUGCGAAAGCGUGGGGAGCAAACAGG
rnacentral:rRNA from 1 species